CUGGCGGCGUGCCUAACACAUGCAAGUCGAACGAAGCUCCUGAUCUGAUCCUUCGGGUGAAGUGAAGGAAGACUUAGUGGCGGACGGGUGAGUAACGCGUGAGCAACCUGCCUUUCAGAGGGGGAUAACAGUUGGAAACGACUGCUAAUACCGCAUAACAUAUUGUUGUCGCAUGGCAAUGAUAUCAAAGCUGAGGCGCUGAGAGAUGGGCUCGCGUCCGAUUAGAUAGUUGUGGGGUAACGGCCUACCAAGUCGACGAUCGGUAGCCGGACUGAGAGGUUGAACGGCCACAUUGGGGCUGAGACACGGCCCAGACUCCUACGGGAGGCAGCAGUGGGGGAUAUUGCACAAUGGGCGAAAGCCUGAUGCAGCAACGCCGCGUGAGGGAAGACGGUUUUCGGAUUGUAAACCUCUGUCUUUGGUGAAGAAGGAAGUGACGGUAACCAAGGAGGAAGCCACGGCUAACUACGUGCCAGCAGCCGC
rnacentral:rRNA from 1 species